GACGAACCGUGCGAACGUUGUUCGGAUUCACUGGGCUUAAAGGGCGCGUAGGCGGCUUGCCAAGUCAGGGGUGAAAUCUUUCGGCUCAACCGGAAAACGGCCCCUGAUACUGGCGGGCUGGAGGAGGGUAGGGGCAGAUGGAACUUCCGGUGGAGCGGUGAAAUGCGUAGAUAUCGGAAGGAACGCCGGUGGCGAAAGCGACUUACUGGACACAUAUUGACGCUGAGGUGCGAAAGCGUGGGGAGCAAACAGG
rnacentral:rRNA from 1 species